rnacentral:rRNA from 1 species
AUUGAACGCUGGCGGCAUGCUUUACACAUGCAAGUCGAACGGCAGCGCGGGCGGGGGUAACCUCGCCUGGCGGCGAGUGGCGAACGGGUGAGUAAUAUAUCGGAACGUACCCAAGAGUGGGGGAUAACGUAGCGAAAGUUACGCUAAUACCGCAUACGAUCCAAGGAUGAAAGUGGGGGCUUGCAAGACCUCAUGCUCCCGGAGCGGCCGAUAUCUGAUUAGCUAGUUGGUGAGGUAAAGGCUCACCAA